rnacentral:siRNA from 1 species
AUAUUAGGAUGUGGUUGGUGUACU